rnacentral:rRNA from 1 species
UACGUAGGUGGCAAGCGUUGUUCGGAUUCAUUGGGCGUAAAGGGUGCGUAGGCGGUCGCGCAAGUCGGAUGUGAAAUCUUGGGGCUCAACCCCGAAACUGCAUUCGAUACUGCGUGGCUCGAGUACUGGAGAGGAGACUGGAAUUUACGGUGUAGCAGUGAAAUGCGUAGAUAUCGUAAGGAAGACCAGUGGCGAAGGCGAGUCUCUGGACAGUUACUGACGCUGAGGCACGAAGGCCAGGGGAGCAAACGGG